rnacentral:rRNA from 1 species
UACGAAGGGGGCUAGCGUUGCUCGGAAUCACUGGGCGUAAAGCGCACGUAGGCGGCUUUCUAAGUCAGGGGUGAAAUCCUGGAGCUCAACUCCAGAACUGCCUUUGAUACUGGAGAGCUUGAGUCCGGAAGAGGUGAGUGGAACUCCGAGUGUAGAGGUGAAAUGCGCAGAUAUCAGGAGGAACACCAAUGGCGAAGGCAGCUCGCUGGGACGGUACUGACGCUGAGACGCGAAAGCGUGGGGAGCAAACAGG